UUUUUAUGGAGAGUUUGAUCCUGGCUCAGGACGAACGCUGGCUGCGUGCUUAACACAUGCAAGUCGAACGCUGAAGC
rnacentral:rRNA from 1 species